rnacentral:rRNA from 1 species
AGCGUACACGGUGGAUGCCCUGGCAGUCAGAGGCGAUGAAGGACGUGCUAAUCUGCGAUAAGCGUCGGUAAGGUGAUAUGAACCGUUAUAACCGGCGAUUUCCGAAUGGGGAAACCCAGUGUGUUUCGACACACUAUCAUUAACUGAAUCCAUAGGUUAAUGAGGCGAACCGGGGGAACUGAAACAUCUAAGUACCCCGAGGAAAAGAAAUCAACCGAGAUUCCCCCAGUAGCGGCGAGCGAACGGGGAGCAGCCCAGAGCCUGAAUCAGUGUGUGUGUUAGUGGAAGCGUCUGGAAAGGCGCGCGAUACAGGGUGACAGCCCCGUACACAAAAAUGCACAUGCUGUGAGCUCGAUGAGUAGGGCGGGACACGUGGUAUCCUGUCUGAAUAUGGGGGGACCAUCCUCCAAGGCUAAAUACUCCUGACUGACCGAUAGUGAACCAGUACCGUGAGGGAAAGGCGAAAAGAACCCCGGCGAGGGGAGUGAAAAAGAACCUGAAACCGUGUACGUACAAGCAGUGGGAGCACGCUUAGGCGUGUGACUGCGUACCUUUUGUAUAAUGGGUCAGCGACUUAUAUUCUGUAGCAAGGUUAACCGAAUAGGGGAGCCGAAGGGAAACCGAGUCUUAACUGGGCGUUAAGUUGCAGGGUAUAGACCCGAAACCCGGUGAUCUAGCCAUGGGCAGGUUGAAGGUUGGGUAACACUAACUGGAGGACCGAACCGACUAAUGUUGAAAAAUUAGCGGAUGACUUGUGGCUGGGGGUGAAAGGCCAAUCAAACCGGGAGAUAGCUGGUUCUCCCCGAAAGCUAUUUAGGUAGCGCCUCGUGAAUUCAUCUCCGGGGGUAGAGCACUGUUUCGGCAAGGGGGUCAUCCCGACUUACCAACCCGAUGCAAACUGCGAAUACCGGAGAAUGUUAUCACGGGAGACACACGGCGGGUGCUAACGUCCGUCGUGAAGAGGGAAACAACCCAGACCGCCAGCUAAGGUCCCAAAGUCAUGGUUAAGUGGGAAACGAUGUGGGAAGGCCCAGACAGCCAGGAUGUUGGCUUAGAAGCAGCCAUCAUUUAAAGAAAGCGUAAUAGCUCACUGGUCGAGUCGGCCUGCGCGGAAGAUGUAACGGGGCUAAACCAUGCACCGAAGCUGCGGCAGCGACGCUNNNNNNNNNNNNNNNNNNNNNNNNNNNNNNNNNNNNNNNNNNNNNNNNNNNNNNNCAUGCUGGAGGUAUCAGAAGUGCGAAUGCUGACAUAAGUAACGAUAAAGCGGGUGAAAAGCCCGCUCGCCGGAAGACCAAGGGUUCCUGUCCAACGUUAAUCGGGGCAGGGUGAGUCGACCCCUAAGGCGAGGCCGAAAGGCGUAGUCGAUGGGAAACAGGUUAAUAUUCCUGUACUUGGUGUUACUGCGAAGGGGGGACGGAGAAGGCUAUGUUGGCCGGGCGACGGUUGUCCCGGUUUAAGCGUGUAGGCUGGUUUUCCAGGCAAAUCCGGAAAAUCAAGGCUGAGGCGUGAUGACGAGGCACUACGGUGCUGAAGCAACAAAUGCCCUGCUUCCAGGAAAAGCCUCUAAGCAUCAGGUAACAUCAAAUCGUACCCCAAACCGACACAGGUGGUCAGGUAGAGAAUACCAAGGCGCUUGAGAGAACUCGGGUGAAGGAACUAGGCAAAAUGGUGCCGUAACUUCGGGAGAAGGCACGCUGAUAUGUAGGUGAAGUCCCUCGCGGAUGGAGCUGAAAUCAGUCGAAGAUACCAGCUGGCUGCAACUGUUUAUUAAAAACACAGCACUGUGCAAACACGAAAGUGGACGUAUACGGUGUGACGCCUGCCCGGUGCCGGAAGGUUAAUUGAUGGGGUUAGCCGCAAGGCGAAGCUCUUGAUCGAAGCCCCGGUAAACGGCGGCCGUAACUAUAACGGUCCUAAGGUAGCGAAAUUCCUUGUCGGGUAAGUUCCGACCUGCACGAAUGGCGUAAUGAUGGCCAGGCUGUCUCCACCCGAGACUCAGUGAAAUUGAACUCGCUGUGAAGAUGCAGUGUACCCGCGGCAAGACGGAAAGACCCCGUGAACCUUUACUAUAGCUUGACACUGAACAUUGAGCCUUGAUGUGUAGGAUAGGUGGGAGGCUUAGAAGUGUGGACGCCAGUCUGCAUGGAGCCGACCUUGAAAUACCACCCUUUAAUGUUUGAUGUUCUAACGUUGACCCGUAAUCCGGGUUGCGGACAGUGUCUGGUGGGUAGUUUGACUGGGGCGGUCUCCUCCUAAAGAGUAACGGAGGAGCACGAAGGUUGGCUAAUCCUGGUCGGACAUCAGGAGGUUAGUGCAAUGGCAUAAGCCAGCUUGACUGCGAGCGUGACGGCGCGAGCAGGUGCGAAAGCAGGUCAUAGUGAUCCGGUGGUUCUGAAUGGAAGGGCCAUCGCUCAACGGAUAAAAGGUACUCCGGGGAUAACAGGCUGAUACCGCCCAAGAGUUCAUAUCGACGGCGGUGUUUGGCACCUCGAUGUCGGCUCAUCACAUCCUGGGGCUGAAGUAGGUCCCAAGGGUAUGGCUGUUCGCCAUUUAAAGUGGUACGCGAGCUGGGUUUAGAACGUCGUGAGACAGUUCGGUCCCUAUCUGCCGUGGGCGCUGGAGAACUGAGGGGGGCUGCUCCUAGUACGAGAGGACCGGAGUGGACGCAUCACUGGUGUUCGGGUUGUCAUGCCAAUGGCACUGCCCGGUAGCUAAAUGCGGAAGAGAUAAGUGCUGAAAGCAUCUAAGCACGAAACUUGCCCCGAGAUGAGUUCUCCCUGACUCCUUGA